CCUACGGGUGGCAGCAGUGGGGGAUAUUGCACAAUGGGGGAAACCCUGAUGCAGCGACGCCGCGUGGGUGAAGAAGUAUUUCGGCACGUAAAGCUCUGUCAGCAGGGAAGAAAAUGACAGUACCUGACCAAGAAGCCCCGGCUAACUACGUGCCAGCAGCCGCGGUAAUACGUAGGGGGCAAGCGUUAUCCGGAUUUACUGGGUGUAAAGGGGGCGUAGACGGUGAUGUAAGCCUGGAGUGAAAGCCCGGGGCCCAACCCCGGGACUGCUUUUGAAACUGUGUGACUGGAGUGCAGGAGGGGCAGGCGGAAUUCCUGGUGUAGCGGUGAAAUGCGUAGAUAUCAGGAGGAACACCGGCGGCGAAGGCGGCCUGCUGGACUGAAACUGACGUUGAGGCUCGAAAGCGUGGGGAGCAAACAGGAUUAGAUACCCUAGUAGUC
rnacentral:rRNA from 1 species